rnacentral:rRNA from 1 species
GGGGAUUAAGGGUGUUUGGGAAAUUUAGGGGGUUCAAAGUUUUGCACUGCAGGGGCAUACUGGUUUUUCCUUGAGUACACGCAACGUUGGGGGAAUUUCUUGGGGUAGCGGGGAAAUGCUUAGAUAUGACGAAGAACUCCAAUUGCGAAGGGCAGCUGACGGGAGUGCAACUGACGCUGAAACUCGAAAAGUGCGGGUAUCGAACAGGAUUAGAUACCCUGGUAGUCCGCACGGUAAACGAUGGAUGCCCGCUAUUCGCUCGAAUGAGUGAGUGGCCAAGCGAAAGCAUUAAGCAUCCCACCUGGGGAGUACGCCGGCAACGGUGAAACUCAAAGGAAUUGACGGGGGCCCGCACAAGCGGAGGAACAUGUGGUUUAAUUCGAUGAUACGCGAGGAACCUUACCCGGGCUUGAAUUGCAGAGGAAGGAUUUGGAGACAAUGACGCCCUUCGGGGCCUCUGUGAAGGUGCUGCAUGGUUGUCGUCAGCUCGUGCCGUGAGGUGUCGGCUUAAGUGCCAUAACGAGCGCAACCCCUCUCCUUAGUUGCCAUCAGUUGAAGCUGGGCACUCUGGGGACACUGCCACCGUAAGGUGUGAGGAAGGUGGGGAUGACGUCAAAUCAGCACGGCCCUUACGUCCGGGGCUACACACGUGUUACAAUGGCAGGUACAGAGAGACGGUCCCUUGCAAAAUGGAUCAAAUCCUUAAAGCCUGUCUCAGUUCGGACUGGGGUCUGCAACCCGACCCCACGAAGCUGGAUUCGCUAGUAAUCGCGCAUCAGCCAUGGCGCGGUGAAUACGUUCCCGGGCCUUGUACUCACCGCCCGUCAAG